rnacentral:rRNA from 1 species
GAUCAUGGCUCAGGACGAACGCUGGCGGCGUGCCUAAUACAUGCAAGUCGAACGAACUGUGGAAAGCUUGCUUUUCAGAGUUAGUGGCGAACGGGUGAGUAACACGUAAGUAACCUAGCUAUUAGACGAGGAUAACUACUGGAAACGGUAGCUAAGACUGGAUAUGAUAGAAAUAUUUAAAGGAUGCUAAGGCAUCGCUAAUAGAGGGGCUUGCGGCGCAUUAGCUAGUUGGUAGGGUAAAAGCCAACCAAGGCGAUGAUGCGUAGCCGACCUGAGAGGGUGACCGGCCACACUGGGACUGAGACACGGCCCAGACUCCUACGGGAGGCAGCAGUAGGGAAUCUUCGGCAAUGGACGGAAGUCUGACCGAGCAACGCCGCGUGAGUGAAGAAAGUUUUCGGAUUGUAAAGCUCUGUUAUUAGGGAAGAAAGGCUCUAGGAGGAAAUGCUUAGGGAUUGACGGUACCUAAUGAGGAAGCCACGGCUAACUACGUGCCAGCAGCCGC